GUACUCACUUCGGCAGCCCAUACACUAAAAUGGGAACAACGGAGAGAAGAUUCGCAUGGCCCCCAUGCAGCGAUGACCUGCAAAUUCAUGAAGUGUUCCAGAUUUUU